AACCAAUUCACAAAUACAUUUCUCUACUCCCAAAUUGGAAGAGAAUCCCCCAAAUCUUUGAAGCUUUGAAACUUUAAAGCUCUUAAGCAAAUCUUGAAGGAUCAAGAAAACCCUCUUCGUUCUUCAUCAAAUCCUCCUUCAAGAUCAAGCCCCAACGACCCUUGAAGAACUUCCACCAAUUCAAGAUCAAGUCUCGACAGCCCUUGAAGAAAGUGUUCAUCGUUCAUCAUCCGUUCAUCCUAAGAUCAAGCCCCAACGGCCCUUUGGAUCAACAACAUCAACAAAUCCACACAACUGUUCAUCCUAAGAUCAAGCCCCGACGACCAUUUGGAUCAAUAAUAUCAACAAAUCUACACAACAUUUCUUUAAGAUCAAACUUCGACGGCCCUUGAAGAAGCUCCCAACCGUUCAUCCAAAAUCAAGCCUCAACGGCCCUUGGAUCAACAACAUCCAUAAAUCAACACCUUACGGAGAUCAAAUCAGAGGAUCAAAUUAGAGAUCAUAACCCUAAAAAUAAAAAAAUCACAAAAUAUUAUUUUGUACACGUUGUUCUUGUCUCUUUCGUUUCAGGAAAAUUUCGUGUUCACAACUAUUUAUGUUUAAUUUUAAAUAAAAAAUUCAAAAUGAUUGUUGAGCACACGAUGUACGAUGAACGGUUAUGAUGUGAGGAUCUCUAGUAUUUCCACAAUUUGGAUCCAGAUAGAAUCCAAAUCUCCAAAACUCAACCUCACCUUAACUUGAUCAUUUACUGGUAGGCUGGGACACUUGGAACCAAAAUCCUAAAGUGAAACAGGAAAUAAAUCGGACCGCACUAAACAAUUUAAUUUUUUUGGUUUUAAAACAGUUUUGGUUUGAAACAGAAAAGCGAUUUGAUUUCAGUAAUGAACAUCUGAAACCGUACCAAAAUCGAAUCGAAUCGCACCGCAAAAAAGAAGAAGCCUAGAUUCCACAUUAAAAAGACUACACACCUUACAUUAGUUAGCAUUCUUCAAGCCGUCAAUCUGUUGCCUAUUUUGGUUAAAAAUUGAAUAUUGGCUGCAAUCUUGCAUCGUACUGAUUUAAAACGCAUAUAAAUGCUUGCUAGCUGCCCUCCGAAGAAA
rnacentral:lncRNA from 1 species